rnacentral:lncRNA from 1 species
AGUGCUGGAAGAUACCCUACUGUUAUAACCAGCUCCCCAUUCCCUCAGCUAAAAAAUCAUCAUCCCAGAGAAGAGAGAGGCAGGAAUUUCUCUGCAAGCCAGAGAGAGAUGAACAUCAGACAUCUGGAAAGAAAAGCUGAGAAUUCUAAACAGUAAAGAGUUCCUUUGUUCAACAUGUCAUUCAGGUGAGUAAUAAACUAGAACGUCUUUCAAUAAUCUUUUAGGGAAGAAACUAUAAUUUAACUUAAUGAUAACUGUUCAUCAUUGCAUCUUCCUUUUAAUGCUUCAUCCAAAUGCAAAGACACAAAAAAAUUAGUAUAUAAAAUUAAUUAAUACAUAUUUUUAAAUAGACUUACUAGGGCAGUUUUGAAAUAGUAAAGAAGGUCCUCUUUUUUUCGUUUGAAAAUUAUGCUUCAUGUCCUCUGUCAAGGCUCUUAACGCAACUCGUAUUUUGUCAUUACUUUGUAAUGUAAUGUAAAAUGCCAACAGCAACCAGAGAAAGUGAGCAUUAGAGACUCCAGACAUAUAUUAUGUCGAUGUUCCUGACCUAAUUACCAAACAACUGUACAUAGGAAAAGGAAGGAAGCAAAGGUUAAGUAUUUGCCUUUCAGUAAGUUUUAAACCUGGAUGAGCUAUGCUGAGCCUUAAUGCAAAAGCAGAAUUGGCCCAUGCUAAUUCACAAAUACAAGUGUUAACAACACUAUUUCAUGACUAUUUUAUUUUUUGCUCAGCUGUGAAGAGAGAACCUCUUUCUCAUUGAAGAUCAAAACUGAAGUGAACUCAGGAAAUGAAUGACGACAUAAGCCAUCCUCCUUUUUUGCAGGUGGAAAGGGAUGCUUUGGAGUUGGCGAUUACGCAUGGGCCAUUUUCUUUCCUUUAUUGUUUCUUGUCUCAUUUGGUCUUCUUUUCUCUUUCCUUUCCUCUCUACUUUCCUUCCUUCCGUCUUUUUUCUUGGGUGGAAAAAAAUAAAACACAACAAAAUUAUCUGCAUGGGAAUCCAUAUCAAUUCAGGAAGUGAAAACUGCCAAGUUCAAACCUUAAGAAAUCUUUGGCAGGAUUCCCCCUGCAAACAGCUAAAUUUGUGUGUGUGUGUGUGUGUGUGUGUGUGUGUGUGUGUGUGUGUAUCCAUUUUAGACAGCUUUAGUGUCUCAGGAUGGCGUAUGCCUAAUCCAGUUGGAGUUGGGUCUAAUAGAAAGGUUCACAGAAGAUUAAGUUUAAUGCACUGUAAUAGGUAACUGAGCUUUUGCCAGUAUGAAUUUUAUAAAUGUGACUCUCAGUAAGGACCAGAAAAUUCGGUUUACAAGCAUCUUGAAGUGUUUCCUUAUGGACUUUUGCAUCUUUUCUUUUAUGCGGAAAUCUCCAAAGAGACCAUAUGAGUGUUGGAAAUACCAAGUGAAGAGUCAGAGAAGGCAGCGAGAGAAAGAGACUUUGAAGCCUGGUAUUUUGAAACUGUUGUUUCAAGAGGCCGAUGGUGAGAUUAAAUUGAAUUGAUUUAUACAAAAAUUGGAUAUGGAGCAUCAAGUAAAAUGUCAGAGGCAAAGGAAGAAUUACAAAAUCUGUAAGAGCAAUAAUUAUACAAAAGAAUAAUAAUGGUUUUCACAGCAAGGAGCUAAGUGUGUGUGACUUUAGCUUAUUUACCUCUGUGGCAGGGCAGAAAUUAAGGGCCAAUGAAGGAAGUGUACCACCCUAUGUUAUAUCUGAAAGCCUAAAAAACCUGGUGCUACCAGAACUUUGCUGAGCAAAGAAGCCAACAUAAAUAAUGAUAACGUAACCUGAAUGCAUUUAGUUUUACGCUUUUCAUAGCAUUUUCACUUUUACAUUUUGAAUUAAUAUUCUCUAUUAUUUUGAAACAUGGGUAAUGUAGGUCUCCCAUUUCUUUCUUCUGUUUUUUUUUUUUCUUUCUUUUUUUUCUUUUUUGAGACGACAUCUUGCUCUGUCUCCAGGCUGGAGUGCAAUGGUGCAAUCUCGGCUCACUGCAACCUCCGCCUUCCGGGUUCAAGCGUUUCUCCUGCCUCAGUCUCCCAAGUAGCUGGGGCUACAGGCAUGUGCCACCACGUCCAGCUAAUUUUUUGUAUUUUUAGCAGAGACGUGGUUUCCCUACGUUAGCUAGGAUGGUCUCGACCUCCUGACCUCGUGAUCUGCCCGCCUCGGCCUCCCAAAGUGCUGGGAUUACAGGCGUGAGUUACUGUGCCCAGCCAGGUCUUCCAUUUCCACAGAUGAAAAUAUUAACGUAGAGA